rnacentral:rRNA from 1 species
AUUGAACGCUGGUGGCAUGCUUAACACAUGCAAGUCGAACGGCAGCGCGGGAAAGCUUGCUUUCCUGGCGGCGAGUGGCAGACGGGUGAGUAACGCGUGGGAAUCUGCCCGAUUGUGGGGGAUAACCCGAGGAAACUCGGGCUAAUACCGCAUAAGCCCUGAGGGGGAAGUGGGGAUCUUUUCGGAGACCUGCCGCAAACGGAUGAGCCCGCGUCCGAUUAGCUGGUUGGUGAGGUAAGAGCUCACCAAGGCGACGAUCGGUAGCUGGUCUGAGAGGAUGAUCAGCCACACUGGGACUGAGACACGGCCCAGACUCCUACGGGAGGCAGCAGU